UUCCAGACUCCUACGGGAGGCAGCAGUGGGGGAUAUUGCACAAUGGGGGAAACCCUGAUGCAGCAACGCCGCGUGAGUGAAGAAGUAUUUCGGUAUGUAAAGCUCUAUCAGCAGGGAAGAAAAUGACGGUACCUGAGUAAGAAGCCCCGGCUAACUACGUGCCAGCAGCCGCGGUAAUACGUAGGGGGCAAGCGUUAUCCGGAUUUACUGGGUGUAAAGGGAGCGUAGACGGCGAUGCAAGUCUGAAGUGAAAGCCCGGGGCUCAACCCCGGGACUGCUUUGGAAACUGUAUGGCUGGAGUGCUGGAGAGGCAAGCGGAAUUCCUAGUGUAGCGGUGAAAUGCGUAGAUAUUAGGAGGAACACCGGCGGCGAAGGCGGCCUGCUGGACCGCGACUGACGUUGAGGCUCGAAAGCGUGGGGAGCGAACAGGAUUAGAUACCCGUGUAGA
rnacentral:rRNA from 1 species